UUCGGUGCGGGCUGCGAGAGCGGUACCAAAUCGAGACAAACUCUGAAUACCAGGGGAACACUCAGCCAGUAAGACGGUGGGGAUAAGCUUCAUCGUCAAGAGGGAAACAGCCCAGACCACCAGCUAAGGUCCCCAAAUUGUCACUAAGUGAUAAAGGAGGUGGGAGUGCAAAGACAACCAGGAGGUUUGCCUAGAAGCAGCCAUCCUUGAAAGAGUGCGUAAUAGCUCACUGGUCUAGCGCUCCUGCGCCGAAAAUGAAUGGGGCUAAGUGACAUACCGAAGGUCGACGCGGCC
rnacentral:misc_RNA from 1 species